rnacentral:lncRNA from 1 species
UAUCAGGCCCAGCAAUAGGCCAGUCAUUUUAUGCAGGGAUUUGACACUAGUCACCAGCCUACCAGCCAGGAGAGGAAGAGAGGGCAUCUGCUGAGGGGGAGAAGGGCUUCCACAGUGUCUUCCAGCACAACACAGGGGAAGUUCCACCUCUGUGAUCUCUGAGGGUUCAGAGGGACCUGGAGAACCAACAUCCCUUAGGCCAUCUAUCAAGAUACCCUGUUCCAUGUUUCAGGGUCUCUAGUUUUCUCAACCAGGGCCAACUUUAACAUUACAGAUCUUCCCACCUGAGUAUUUAAAGUCUCUGGAGCUCUGAAAUUCUACUAGAUCUUAUGUUUACUGUCUGCUGCUCAGCUGUGUCCCCUCUUCCACGGCAGGAGGUAGAAGCCUCUUUGUAAGCUCCCAAUGAGACCCUCUGGUUCUCACCCUGAAGACUUUACCUGUUUGUUAAUGGUCUUUGGUUCUUUAUUAGCUCUCUGCAGAGUGUCAAUACAACUUAGCAAUAACCUUAACCACCACUCCACUGCCUUUGUGGGCAUUGCUCUCCUCUCACCUUCCGUAUGCCCGAAUCAUCAUACCUACAAGGGUAUUUUCCUCCACAAAGAUGCUUUUCCCCAUCACUACCAGUACAAUAUUUAGCAAAUGAACUGUGUGUCAGAGACUCAGGAUGGUAUCUUCUUUGCCAGUCCAUGAACCCCAUCUUACUGCCCAUUAUCUUAUACCAUUCUUCGCAUCACUUAUGUUAGUUCGAGUCCUCUGAAAAGCAGAUGCCAAGAUGGAAUUCGACCUUUUAGAGAUUGAGGAAAAUUUGGUAAGGAAAAAUGUGUAGGGAACUGGAGGAGGCCCUAAAGUCAUCUGACCAUGAUGCAAUUCUGACCUCUGAAAGGAGAGAGGGAAGGAGAAAAAAGACUGGGUAGGAAAAGUCUUAGAAUUCUGGGCAAUUCAAGAAAGUUUCCUCAAGAUCUACAGGGAGUCCUCAAGUCAAAGUCUCUCGUAGAGAAGCCCCACAUCUCUCAGGAAUGAGCCUGCCAUGGCAUCUUUGCUGAGCUCAGUCACUAUUCAGGCAGCAUGGUUGACAGUUGGCCUUGGUGUGAAGACAGCGACAGUUUUCAGAGCAUAGAAGCUGGGGUCCUCAGUCAACCUCGUUCCUCAUACUCAGAGAUCUGAGAGGCACAUUCCCACAGCUGCCACUUCCUCUUGAGGAUUCAGGCUUCUGUAUGGUCUGAAAGUCCACUGCAUUCAGUCAAUGGAUGAGAAGGGUGAGAAGCGACACACAUCUCUCUGCCCACAUUGGUGAGAAUCAAUCACAUGGAUGCACUUCACUGAAAGAAGAGUCUGAGAAAUGUGUUCCUGGUUAGGGGGCCACUUAGAAGCAAGGAGUCU